rnacentral:rRNA from 1 species
GACGAACGCUGGCGGCGUGCUUAACACAUGCAAGUCGAACGGUAAGGCCCUUCGGGGUACACGAGUGGCGAACGGGUGGGUAACACGUGGGUGAUCUGCCCUGCACUUCGGGAUAAGCCUGGGAAACUGGGUCUAAUACCGGAUAGGACCCUGGGAUGCAUGUCCUGGGGUGGAAAGCUUUUGCGGUGUGGGAUGGGCCCGCGGCCUAUCAGCUUGUUGGUGGGGUGAUGGCCUACCAAGGCGACGACGGGUAGCCGGCCUGAGAGGGUGACCGGCCACACUGGGACUGAGAUACGGCCCAGACUCCUACGGGAGGCAGCAGUGGGGAAUAUUGCACAAUGGGCGCAAGCCUGAUGCAGCGAAGCCGCGUGAGGGAUGACGGCCUUCGGGUUGUAAACCUCUUUCAGCACCGACGAAGCGCAAGUGACGGUAGGUGCAGAAGAAGGACCGGCCAACUACGUGCCAGCCGCCGCGGUAA